rnacentral:rRNA from 1 species
AAGGGAAUCUUCGGCAAUGGACGAAAGUCUGACCGAGCAACGCCGCGUGAGUGAAGAAGGUUUUCGGAUCGUAAAACUCUGUUGUUAGAGAAGAACAAGGACGUUAGGUAACUGAACGUCCCCUGACGGUAUCUAACCAGAAAGCCACGGCUAACUACGGGCCAGCAGCCGCGGUAAUACAAAA